AACUUUUUAUGGAAGUAUCUAGGACUACCAUGGUUGCAACAGGUAACGGGGAAUCAGGGUUCGAUUCCGGAUAGGGAGCCUGAGAGACGGCUACCACAUCUAAGGAAGGCAGCAGGCGCGUAAAUUACCCACUCCCAGCUCGGGGAGGUAGUGAC